CGCGUAGGCGGAUCAGUCAGUCAGAGGUGAAAUCCCGGCGCUCAACGUCGGAACUGCCUUUGAUACUGCUGAUCUGGAGUAUAGGAGAGGUGUGUGGAAUUCCGGGUGUAGAGGUGAAAUUCGUAGAUAUUCGGAGGAACACCAGAGGCGAAGGCGACACACUGGCCUAUUACUGACGCUGAGGCGCGAAAGCGUGGGGAGCAAACA
rnacentral:rRNA from 1 species